CUUAUAUAUUUUCAUGUCUUCCUCAAGAUUUUGAACAGCAUCUCUUCAAAACAGUCUGAAUGAAAAUAUCUCUUAAUUUAUACUUUUCUUUUUAUUUGCCAUGUUCCUUCUAGACUUCAACAAAAAAGUAAAAUGGAUUUUAUCAUACUUGGAAAACCAACAAUUGCAGUCUGGAUUCAAGCAUCACUGUUUGAUGCACCCAACUUGAGUCAAAAAGAUGCUUCAAAUCCCACUAGGCUGGAGAUGGAGCCAGAUUGAGAAAAACCAACCAACCAACCAACCAACGAACAGCAUGAUGGCUGAACCAGACAAGAGAAGUCCUGAAGAAAAAUACUUAUCAAUUACCAGAAUCUGUGCCUGCCAUACAUCAAAGGUAUUGUAUCCAUGACAGCAUGCUGCUUUUUGUGGUGUUUUGAUUGACGUCACAAUUUCUUAGCAGUCCUUCCACAGCCAUUCUGAGAUAGCAUCGAGAAAUCAAUGAAACUUCAGAAUAGGAAGUAUUUGUGUCUAUAGACUAAUGUGGCACAUUCCAUCUUGGAAAAUGUAAUCCUUAUAGGAAGAUAGAAAGAAUCUUGGUAGCAGUAUAUGCUGGGAAUAUACUCAGCGAUUUCCCAUGUAUUUUCUAGAUUUAGGAAAUCAUAAAUCAAGAGAAGAAUGUGGGAGGUGCUGGCACCUUAGUGGAGGGAAGUUGUCUCAAGCAAACAGCUACACAGAAAUGAGGAAUUGGGCUUUUUAGCCAUGACUUACAGCUGCCAGUCCAAAUUGUAUAAAAUCAGAAAAAUAUAUUAAAAAGUAUCAACUCCCAUUGAACCUAUGCUUUGCAAAAGUAUAUUUGAUAUUCAUCUAUUUUGAUUCCUGAAAUAAUCCUAAACUAGGUAUGGUGGAUGUUAUCCUACAAAUGAAGAUGCUAAGGCCCAAGGGGGUUAAUGUCGUGCUUAGUUUUUAAGAAAAGAGUGGAAAUCCUGUGUACUUACUCAAACCCAGUUAUCUUUCCACGAUGUUUUAAACUGACAAACCAAUAACAAGAAAGAUGAACAAAGGGUUAAACUCAAACUCACCAGAAAUAUUUGGAGUCCAAAACAGAGUGAAUGGUGGUGGAUGCUGUCUUGUAAUUGUAAUCUGUAUGUCAAAAUAAGACAAUCCUGUUGAAAGAAUUAACUUGAAAGUGGAAAGCAUGGGCAAAAUGAGGAAGUUGUAAAAAAUGGUGCUAUACAAUAGCUUUUGUUGUUGUUGUCACUAGUAGUGGCAUUCCUUGUUUUUUAACUUUUCGAAAUAUAUGGGUAACAUAACACUUAUUCUUGAAUUCGUCACAUUCUUUUAAAACAAUUAUUUACUGUCUCUCAUUUCUCUUGUGCCUUUAAAAAAUUUUAUAUUUUCCUUGCUUCCAAGGUGUCUCUAUAUCCGUAAUCAGAAACUCCCAAACUUUGCUGUAGGUUUUGAUGGGACACCUGUAAUUAACUCCCAGCAAUGAUUGCCUAAUUUAAAUUAUAAACCCCUGGGACAAGCUCUGGGUCUAAUUUUUCAUUCUGUAGCCUACUUUGAACAAACUUUCAGAACACCAAGCCUGGCUGUGGUCCUCUCUCUCCUGUCUGCCUUUAUGUGCUGGUCCUCUUGUCCAUAAAACACUCUGAAUGGAAAUUAAGGCUAUAGCAAACCAAGUGAGCAUAGAGACUUAUUAACAGAGAACCUGAUUUCAUCUCUCUGCUUCAACUCCUUAGUCUCUGACUUCUUUAUCCCACAUGACUCUGCAAACCUAUGUCUGAACUUACAUUCUCCUGAAACCGGAACGGAUGAAACUCAUUAGGUAAUGCCAGCGCUCUUACUGAUCUUCACCUCAAACCUCAGGAAACAAAGCCAGGCAUGAUAUCCUCAGCUUUUAUGUUCUUCCUUCUUUUGCUUAGGCCUGAAAGUUGCAGAUAGGAUGCAUCUAAAAUUGGAGUUUAGGAGGCAUAGUUUUUCAAAGGGUUUUUACUGGGCAGGAAAUGCCAUAUCCUAAAGGGUAGCAGUGUGUUCCUAUAGCUGGUACAGACAUCUGAAGUAAUUUAAAACCAACAUGAAUGAUAACCACAUUUUUGGCUUAUAAAUUUAAAACCAAGAAGAAGGAGUGGGCAAUGAUCAGGAUUCCAUAUUCAUUGUAGGGGAGCAAUUAAAACAUAGAUAAUUCAGUAUCUUUUGGACUUUGUUGGCUAACCAACAGUAUAAUAAAUCACAAAAAUUAUUAUUUCAAUGAUUUAAAUAGAUAACUGCAGCUACAACUUCUGAAAUGUUGAAUGGAUAAAUGAGG
rnacentral:lncRNA from 1 species